CAGUGAUGCUUCAAAGGAGGUAUCCUGGCAGAGUUGCCCACUACACACAGCUGAGAAAGAACAAACACCCAUUCUUGAUGGAGAAAAGGCAAACAGAAACCCUACGGAUUCAAGAACAUUUGCUGGUGGCUCAGCAUACACAAAAGAUCCAGGAAGAGGGGAAGGUGGAUGGGGACCAUGAAUAUGCAGAGUCUGUCUUGAAGAACUCCAGGUUACAGAACAUUCUGUACUUCUAAGGAACAGGACUAUUUCAAGUGUCUCAAAGUUCUGUCGCCCAUGCUGUUCGAUGAAGUGACUGAGAAUCCAGAUCACAAAGCCCCAGGAUGAAGUGCAUGAGAGCUGAGGACAAAGCAUUCUCUGCUGAGGGGAUCUGGCUAUGGAAGAAACUCCCAGAGGAGAUCAGGUGUGCAACUGAAGCUCAGAGAGAGAGAGAGCGAGUUUAAGUGACCUGCCGAAGGUGGAAAUGAGCCCUAAUCUGUUGAAUCCCAGUCCAGUACUUCAAUCACAAAACCAUCCUUUCUCUCAUUGUGUGCCCCUUCUUUGAAGAAAUGUACUAAGACACUACUGAAUACAAGCCAUUUCUAGGAAGUUGCCACUGCUGUUAUCUCAACAUUUGAAUCCUAGAUUUAAGUAUCUUAAAGAAAAAUACAUUUAACCCAUUAGCCUUCCAGAUUAGGAUAAUAAAACCAAAAUGGUCAUGGACAUUGAGUUAAAUCUGGAGAAAGAAAUGUGAAGAAAAAUGUCAUAUAGGAUUAUUAGCAACCCCCAAAACCAUGUAAAUAACAGGUUUCAGAGUAACAGCCGUGUUAGUCUGUAUUCGCAAAAAGAAAAGGAGUACGUGUGGCACCUUAGAGACUAACCAAUUUAUUUGAGCAUAAGCUUUCGUGAGCUACAGCUCACUUCAUCGGAUGCAGUGAGCUGUAGCUCACGAAAGCUUAUGCUCAAAUAAAUUGGUUAGUCUCUAAGGUGCCACAAGUACUCCUUUUCUUCAUGUAAAUAACGGCACUGCAAUGUUCUAUAUAAUAGGACAUGCCUGGUCCCAGUUUUGGAGGAAAGGUGUGCCAAACAAUGUAUUGUUUCUGGAGGUUUGAAGGUUUCUCUGGCAUAUCAGUGCAAAUCUUUUCUAAAGACCUCAUACACAGCUUGUUCUAUUUUCACUAUAUUUAAAGUAAAACAGGCACUUUCAGUCCCGAUGAGUUUUAUUUCAGAUGAAGGAAAACAAUAUAGCAACUAAGGCCCUAAAUGUAUGAGUUGUUACUAUUUAAGAAUUGCCCUAGCAUCAAGGCCUUUUAGAAAAGAGAGAACAUUGGGCUAAGAGAAUAAAAACCCAAGAUCGAAGAGCAAAUUUCUUCAGUAGCGGAGUUGCUGCAGACUUUCGCAAGAGAGUACCACCGGUGCAGCUAAAGAGACUUCUCCCUAUUGCCUCUCUGUGAAUUAAUUAAUUAAACAUUAAAUGAAUAUGGAAUAUAAAUAUUAUAUGAUGUGCCACAUACAGCAUUAACAUAGGGAACUUGCUGGAAUCUAACAUUAUUCUUAAAAUGUGCAUAAAUGGAAGUCAUCUGGACAAUCCUGUUAAGAAAGAAAGGACUUGUAUUCAUAUUGAUUUCUUUUAGUUUAAAUGGUAAAGUGAAGAAGGCUAAUGUUUGCAAUCGAGAAUGCUUAUGCUAUCAAGUUAGUGAAAUACACCCGUGCUGAAAGAGGCAGUAAAUAAAAGGAACUGAAACCAAAUUGUGCGUGUAUAAGGACACUUGAUCACAGAAUGGAAUAAUCAGAAAUGUAACUGUUUGAUUAAUAAUGCCCAGACUGAGCUCAGCCAUAUAUACCAAAGUCCGCCACUGUUGUUAAGACACAGAGAACAGAAAUGGAAAAUGUAUACAGCUGUUCCGGCAUGCUGGAGAACAACAGCUCUUUAAGCGAAUUUGCAUUGUAUAAUGGACAGUUAAAACAAGUUUAAAGAGCAUCAAAGACUAUGGAGGGACUUUGCAUAUAUCAUAUGAACUUUAAACUGGACAUUUCAGCAGCUAGCAGAGUGUUGAUGAAGAAUCUGCAACUUGUGCAUGCAUAACUGCAAAGCUGGCCCAGGGGUGCACCACAAAAGGGCCAUGGAAAGCAGUUUGCAGAGGUAAGUUGCUGACUGGAUCAAACCAGCCAGCGUUCAAGGUAUGUCUCAAGAUUGUUGCACCAAUAGAUUUGGCCUACUUUGUCUUACACAAUCUGGUGAGACAAGAUGCGCUCCCAAAAGCCGAAGACCCCUGGAAGGGAGAAUACUGAGGUCCUUGGCCUGCCACCCAGGAGUCCUCCUGGUGACAUCAAGUGCCUAUCUCAGAGAGACACCUUUAACUGUCUCUUCCUAUUUUCCAGCAAUUCAGGGUGUCCACUAGCACACCAGGAAAAGAGCAUAGUUGUGUCCAUCCUUUGCUCCCCUGUGUUUGCAGCAUUACCUCCUGUUGUGAACAAUAACAAAGCUGAAAGCUGACAGCUGGGCAAAGAUCUGGUGAUAAGUAACACACAGACUUUUUCUUGGGUGUUGACCCAAAUCAGUCAACUGACCACUUUCUGAAACUGGGUAUCUAAUUAACAAGGAAGUGUACAUGCUUUUGCAUGUGUGUUAAAGAUUGUCACAGAGUUAUAGUGUGUGUCAGUGUUUUGUAACAGGUUCCAAUCAAGACUGUUAUAAGAUAGCUUUGAAACUGAACUCAGAUUGUGGGACACUAUACAUGUGUCUACCAUAGUUAAUGGCUUCAUACAGCUUUUCAAGUUCUAGGGGCAUACCGACAUAAAAUAGACCAAGUGUACAAGCCUCUCGAACCACACUUAAUCUACACAGUCUGUCAGAAAUGUAGGCGUUUAGGUAGUUAGGAGCAUUAAUCAGAUCCUGGGGCUAAUAUCAUUAGGAAAUAGGUAACAAGGGUUGACUACUAUAGGUCCAUUGGGAAGGAGACCUUGGUGAAUUGGUAUUUAAGUAAUUGAUCAAAUUAUCCUGUGAUUUAGCUUUGGAUUGUUUUUUCUUUGCAGCUUGGAUAACCAACUGGCACAUGUGAGGCCAUAUUCUGAGGGACUCAGUCAAAAAUUUUAAACAAAAUCACCUUCCCAAGACCCGAGAUUGAGUAUAAGUGUUAUUUUCUAUUGUGGUUGUAUGAUUAGAUUCCAAAAACCUGAAUAGUUAUAUCAACCAACUUUCUAGUUUACGUUAGUUUAAUACCAUUUUUGCCUUCUUAUAUCCUAUACUACUAGUUGCUGUUGUUAAGGAUAGUUAAUAAAAAUUAAUAUAACU